UGCUCGGAAAAUGAGAUUAACUUCAAGCAAUCAAAACAGCAAAGAGGAUUUAUCAUGUCGUGCGACCACAGAUUUAUUGCUCCGUCACACACAUAAAUACAAAUUAACACGCGCACGUUUCCACACGCAAACUCUUCUCUUCCUCCGUAGCAAAGGGACUGUCAUUGAUCGGGCGGCGAGCACUGAAGAGUUGGAUGUAGUGUGCGUGGGUGGGCAUGGUUUAGUACACAGAGCUUAACGCAGUGAGACGCGAUGGCACCGCCGGUGGCCUAACGUCCAGAUGGGGUUCCUGACACCAUCAUGCCCCGUCGCAUUCCCCUGCUCAGGAGGACAAUCAUCUUUCAACCCUGCGGCGCUCCUUGUAGCGAGGGCACCGAGAAUAAAUCACUGCUGCCCGGUUCAGAGACAUGGGAGGGAUGCUGACAAGUUCAAGAGGGGCCCGGGGUGGCGUCCACAGAGAGAGUGAAAGGUCAAAGCCUCGCAAGUGGUUUCGUAGGUCACUUCCUGAGCAGGUAGGCCGGUACUGGUACUUGCUUGUGAACUGGCUAACUCCCAGUAAGACACAGUUAAAUCACUGCGUCGUUUCAUCAUUUGAACAACAAACUUCUGUGGUCCAAUGAAUUAAUUUAAUGAAAUUGUUCUGGCCACGGUGAGUUGCACUUUAGAUUUGCACUUAAGGUUAUUAUAGUCUGAUUGAUGUGGUUCUAAAUUGCUCCAUGAACAUUUAUUUAAUUCCUCAACUCCUUCCUGACUUGUCAUAGGAGGAGAAGUAUAUUAAUUACUCAUGACAAUAAUGGUGACAGUGUUCUAUUUGAGAGUCAGAGUAAGACAUGGCAGUGUGACAGUGAGCCUGCAGGCACAAAACCAUGACCCUGAAACUCAAGCAGCUAAAUUGAAUCCAGUCAUUCAUUUUAUUAUUUACUUCUGGGCUUAUUCCACUGUGACGAGUCAAAAAGGUGUUUCAUUGCAUUUCCAAGUACUUUUAGAUUAUUUUUAUUGUUAUUAAAAUAUGAAUACAAAUGAUCAUAAUCACUUGUUAACAAAUAGGACCCAAAUAAUUGAGUGGAAAUCUGCAUGGAGAGGCAAUGGAAUGUUUUGAGAGGGGUAGAUUAAAGUUUCUGCAUGUUGACCACUUGUGCUUUGGGGGAGCCAGCGUCUUAUUUCUUUGUUAGGAGAAGCACUUCAUGCCGUCUCAUUCAGAUUCCUCAAAUUGCCAUAAAAUGAUGAACAGUGAUAAUGCCGCACAAAAGCUGUACUAUGGCUUUAUUUUGAAAAAUGAAAAUUAGUGCUUACACUGCAGGAUUAGUGCUCCAUGCAGCUCCAUCUGACCAUUAAACAAUAGCUUAAAAGCCGACACAGAUAACAGCACAUUUUAUCAGAUACUCCACUGAUAGCAAUUACCAAGGCCUGUUUAUGUACAUAUAAAAAAAAGCUGCACUCUCCAUUUUGAGUCUGAACAUUUCCAUCCACUAUGCAGCUACAGUACAAACACUCCCGAGAUAUUUGGUAUAAAAAAAGCAAAGAGAAGGCCUUGCAAAACUUUCCCAGCCAAAGAAGUAAUUUCAAUCAGAGGGCUUUAGUGAACGCGUUUGAAAACCAUUUCCCCGUCCGCACUGAAACAUGCAUCUUUCCUCUCGUCUAAUACCCGGAUUAACAUUUUUAAGACACAGCAUUUUUUUUUUUGUCCUUAUCAGCAUAAGACAGUGGGAGAUAAUUACAUGCCUGUACAAUACCUCCCUAUGGCCACUGCAAUCAAAAGUAGUUAUGAGACUGAUCAACACUUUCCCUGUUAACAAAACGGUGAGAGCUUCAUGGGUGUCAGGGCAGGUGGAAACAUAAUUCCUCCUUAGCUAUUUAUAAAGGGUACCCAGUGGUAUGUGAGACUCCUUAGACUCAUAUUUUAUUUCACAAUAUAUUUUAUUUUAUACUUACUGGAGAAUGUCCAAAAUGGAUUUUAGUGAGUAAAAGUAUAUUAGCAUCAUCUACACAUACAUGUACUAUGUCAUUUCUUUGUGUAGGUAGAAUUAAUGCACGUUUUUCCUGCAUUGUUCUGUGAAGUCAAGGUUUUCAUAUCUGUGCAUAUGGUCAGAGACUGAUUUGUCUGUAAAAGGCUCAUAUCAGUGGAUUUCUUUGCUCAACUGAUUCAUCUGUCGGCUCUAAUACGUACCAUCUAUAACUACGACCAGAGCCAUAUCAAGAAAGAGAAAAGGAAAAACUGACUCUAUGUCUAUAUAUAAAUCUAUGAAUAAGCUGGCAGACAGAUACAGAUGGGAAUGUGGGCCCUAGAAACCUCUUGGAAGGAUUUAUUUUAGUGAACGAUAGUGAAAGAAUUUAAUCAGCCGUGACGUAUCUGGACACAUCUGGUCUUUCUCCUACUUAACCUCUGACCUGCUGAACUGCUGUCUCUCUGGUAUUCGCUGCUCUGCCUCAGCAGCUUCCGCCAACUCGUCUGAUUCCGAACACAAGUCGUCUGAUCCCGCUAAUGCAUUCGGACUUAGGCAUGGGACAUUUUGAUUAGUAUGUGACCUUAUUAAUUCAUGAUCAAUUUGUUAUCUUGCUGCGUGGAUGAACCUGCCAAGCCAACUCAACAUCACCUUUACUCCAGAAAUAAUAAUAAAAAUGAUGUCAAUGCAUGAAAAAGAAAAAGAAAUUGACACAGUUUUACCACAGUUGAACCUUUCUAUAGUACUUUUAAACCAUAAAUCCAUCAACACGGUUGAAUCACUUUAAAUCAAACAUCAUUCCUUGAGUGUUAGACAUACUCAUGUUCACUAGCUGAGACUGAAUGAAGCUUCUCUUCCCAGUUAAACUUUAUGUCACCUGCAUUGAAUGCUAUAUAAAUUUAAAUAUGUCUACCGGUGAGAGCUACAUUUUAAAUUCUUCAUCUUCAUAUUCUUGUGCUAAUCCGAGGUCGGAUUGCAGCGGUAACAAGCUAAGCAGGGUGUUCCAGACAUUUCUCUUCUCAGCGCCUCCUGGGGGAUCCCGAGGCGUUCCCAGGACAGAUGGAAUAUGGAUUCCCUCCAGCAAGUUCUGGGUCUAACCUGAGGUCUCCUCCAACUUGGGCUCGCCUGGUAAACUUUCACUGGAUGGCGUCGAGGAGGCAUCCCGAGAAAAAAUCCAAACCACCUAAACUGGACUCUUUUGACAUAAAGGAGCAGCGGCUCUACUCCGGGCUCCCCCCCGAAUGUCCGACCUCCUCACCCUGUCUUUCAGCCUGUACAGAGGCACCCUGUGGAGAAACAUCAUUUCAGGAUUCUUGUAUCCGUGAUCUCAAUCUUUCCGUCUCUACCCAGAGCUCAUGACCAAAGUGUGGCCUUAUGCAGGGAGCUCGGCCCGGGAUGGGCAGACAGUGGCGCGGCUGGGGGCUAAUGCCGAGAGUGAUGGAUGACGAUACAGGCUGCAGAUGGAGAUGUGCCACGGGAGAUUAAUCCCCAGCAAAGGUCGCAGGGGGGCCAGUGCCAGCUGAGAUCGGGCGAGAGGCAGAGUGCACCCUGGACAAGUCGCCAGUCUAUCAUCAGGCUGUCACACAGAGACAAAACAAUCACAUUCACCCCUAUGGGCAAUUUAGGGCUGCAAAUUAACCUGCAUGUCUUUGUACUGCCGGAAGAAGCCGGAGCACCAGGGGGAAACCCACGCAGGCGUGACCACUGCACCACCGUGCCACCCUGCUGACAGCAGAGACUGAGGACUACAAGAGAUUCUGAAAGAGAAUACUAAUGUUUGAUCCCACUUUGUUGUGCUCAACUGUUUGUUCAGUGGAGAUCUGCCGCGGGUGUGCAGGCUGCUUGUUUAGUUCAUUUCAUAACGAUUAAAGGGGCUUUAGUUGAGAUAACUUGAAGAUUAUUAUUAUUUUCUUUAGGUUAAAAACUGACAAAUAUCCAGAGAUUGCAAAGGCAUGUAUGUAAAAGUGCAUAGUAUGAUUUGCAUACAGUGGCUAAUUCUAAUUUUGUCUAAUUCCAUUUUAUUAAAAUGGAAUUAAACUGGAAAACAUAUAUAUAUAUAUAUAUAUAUGCAACACUGCUCACCACUAAGCGGUUCAGGAAACAUUUGUGAAAGUAUCUCAUCUCCAUGUGGGCUAAAUGCAUGAAUAAGUGCUAUUUUGACUACAGUGAUUUGUACUAUUCAAAAGUGGUGUUCAAGUACAAAUGAGCUCAUUUGUUUUUCCCAUUGAAAAGUCACGAAUCUGCUGCUUACAGAAAUAAACUUAGCAUGCCUGCAGUGUUUGUGGGCCUAUUUGAACCCAUUUAGUCAUAUCUAUUUGGUCAAUUACCAAUAACAAUUAUCUUUAUUGUGUUAAUAAACCAUCACAAUUUAGUCAA